rnacentral:lncRNA from 1 species
UACCUCAAGGUGAGGUAGACGGUUGUGCUCGUGCGGCCGGUGUGCAUAGGCAAGAGUUGCCUAAUACUGGACUUAGUAUGGAACGCUAUAGAGGCGUAUGACGUUCGAGUAUAGGUACUCGUGGAGUGCGGAUAUGGAUAAGCCAAGUGAGUGUGUUGGCAAUAGCACUUGAGCAUUGCUAGGUGCGAAGCGUGCCAAGGAUCACUCGUGGGACUGAUGA